UCCACGGGGAGCUUGUAGGCAACGACAGGCUGAGAGGGAGCGCGCCCGCUCCGACCCGCCGAACCUGAUGUGGGUAAUGCCAACGAAGGGAGCUGUG
rnacentral:ncRNA from 1 species